rnacentral:rRNA from 1 species
CAUGCAAGUCGAACGGCAGCACGGGUGCUUGCACCUGGUGGCGAGUGGCGAACGCGUGAGUAAUAUAUCGGAACGUACCUUAUUGUGGGGGAUAACGCAGCGAAAGCUGUGCUAAUACCGCAUAAGCCCUUAGGGGGAAAGCGGGGGACCGUAAGGCCUCGCGCAAUUAGAGCGGCCGAUACCUGAUUAGCUAGUUGGUGAGGUAAAGGCUCACCAAGGCAACGAUCAGUAGCUGGUCUGAGAGGACGAUCAGCCACACUGGGACUGAGACACGGCCCAGACUCCUACGGGAGGCAGCAGUGGGGAAUUUUGGACAAUGGGGGCAACCCUGAUCCAGCAAUGCCGCGUGAGUGAAGAAGGCCUUCGGGUUGUAAAGCUCUUUUGUCAGGGAAGAAACAGCAGCUCUAACACAGUUUGCGAAUGACGGUACCUGAAGAAUAAGCACCGGCUAACUACGUGCCAGCAGCCGCGGUAAUACGUAGGGUGCAAGCGUUAAUCGGAAUUACUGGGCGUAAAGCGUGCGCAGGCGGUUAUGUAAGACAGGCGUGAAAUCCCCGGGCUUAACCUGGGAAUUGCGCUUGUGACUGCAUAGCUAGAGUGUGUCAGAGGGGGGUAGAAUUCCACGUGUAGCA